rnacentral:lncRNA from 1 species
GAGAACCCAACUUCUCUUCUCAUCUAGGUUAGUUUCUUUCCCUUCUAAUGAUUUGUAUCUAUUUUCCCCAACUUGUUAUCAUCUUCUUUAACCAUUUUAGAUGCCCAGAAUCGUGCAGCAACUUCAAAAUAGAAGUAAUCUUCCUCUGCUACACCUGCAUGUGUUGCGGCUUGGGUGACUGUCUGUUUUUCCUUAACUGCAGCUUCUAGCUUCGAUUCCUAUUCAUUUUCAAGUUCUAGAUUAGUUAAACUUAGAAUGAUUAGGAACUAAGUUUCCACAAUAAAAACACUUUAGAAUUCAUG